GAAGCUAGCUCUGAAUGUCAAAA
rnacentral:sRNA from 1 species